rnacentral:rRNA from 1 species
AUUGAACGCUGGCGGCAUGCCUUACACAUGCAAGUCGAACGGUAACAGGUCUUCGGACGCUGACGAGUGGCGAACGGGUGAGUAAUGCAUCGGAACGUGCCCAGUCGUGGGGGAUAACUGCUCGAAAGAGCAGCUAAUACCGCAUACGACCUGAGGGUGAAAGCGGGGGACCGUAAGGCCUCGCGCGAUUGGAGCGGCCGAUGUCAGAUUAGCUAGUUGGUGGGGUAAAGGCCUACCAAGGCAACGAUCUGUAGUUGGUCUGAGAGGACGACCAGCCACACUGGGACUGAGACACGGCCCAGACUCCUACGGGAGGCAGCAGUGGGGAAUUUUGGACAAUGGGCGCAAGCCUGAUCCAGCAAUGCCGCGUGCAUGAAGAAGGCCUUCGGGUUGUAAACUGCUUUUGUCAGGGAAGAAAUCUUCUGGGCUAAUACCCCGGGAGGAUGACGGUACCUGAAGAAUAAGCACCGGCUAACUACGUG